GAUGAACGCUGGCGGCGUGCCUAAUACAUGCAAGUCGAGCGAACAGACGAGGAGCUUGCUCCUCUGACGUUAGCGGCGGACGGGUGAGUAACACGUGGAUAACCUACCUAUAAGACUGGGAUAACUUCGGGAAACCGGAGCUAAUACCGGAUAAUAUAUUGAACCGCAUGGUUGAAUAGUGAAAGACGGUUUUGCUGUCACUUAUAGAUGGAUCCGCGCCGCAUUAGCUAGUUGGUAAGGUAACGGCUUACCAAGGCAACGAUGCGUAGCCGACCUGAGAGGGUGAUCGGCCACACUGGAGCUGGGACACGGUCCAGACUCCUGCGGGAGGCAGCAGUAGGGUAUCUUACGCAAUGGGCGAAAGCAUGACGGAGCAACGCCGCGUGAGUGAUGAAGGUCUUCGGAUCGUAAAGCUCGGUUAUUAGGGAUGAACAAAUGUGGAAGUAACUAUGCACGUCGUGACGGUACCUAGUCAGAAAGCCACGGCUAACUACGUG
rnacentral:rRNA from 1 species